rnacentral:piRNA from 1 species
UGACAUGGUAAAAUCAAGGAACUGUGA